rnacentral:rRNA from 1 species
AACGAACGCUGGCGGCGUGCCUAACACAUGCAAGUCGAACGAGAAAGGGGCUUCGGCUCCGAGUAAAGUGGCGCACGGGUGAGUAACACGUGGGUAACCUGCCUCUAAGAUUGGGAUAACUCGUCGAAUGAUGAGCUAAUACCGAAUAAGACCACAGUUCCCGCGGGAACAGGGGUCAAAGGUAGCCUCUGCUUGCAAGCUAUCACUUAGAGAUGGGCCUGCGCACCAUUAGCUAGUUGGUAGGGUAACGGCCUACCAAGGCAAAGAUGGUUAGCUGGUCUGAGAGGAUGAUCAGCCACACUGGAACUGAGACACGGUCCAGACUCCUACGGGAGGCAGCAGUGGGGAAUAUUGCGCAAUGGGCGAAAGCUUGACGCAGCAACGCCGCGUGAGUGAUGAAGGCCUUCGGGUCGUAAAGCUCUGUCGGGAGGAACGAAUGCUCCUGAGGUUAACAGCCUCGGGAGGUGACGGUACCUUCAAAGGAAGCACCGGCUAACUCUGUG